rnacentral:rRNA from 1 species
GACGAACGCUGGCGGCGUGCUUAACACAUGCAAGUCGAACGGAAAGGCCCUGCUUUUGUGGGGUGCUCGAGUGGCGAACGGGUGAGUAACACGUGAGUAACCUGCCCUUGACUUUGGGAUAACUUCAGGAAACUGGGGCUAAUACCGGAUAGGAGCUCCUGCAGCAUGGUGGGGGAAGGAAAGAUUCGGCGGUUGGGGAUGGACUCGAGGCUUAUCAGCUGGUUGGUGGGGUAGUGGCUUACCAAGGCUUUGACGGGUAGCCGGCCUGAGAGGGUGACCGGCCACAUUGGGACUGAGAUACGGCGCAGACGCCUACGGGAGGCAGCAGGGGGGAAUAUUGCACAAUGGGGGGAAGCCUGAUGCAGCAACGCCGCGUGCGGGAUGACGGCCUUCGGGUUGUAAACCGCUUUCGCCUGUGACGAAGCGUGAGUGACGGUAAUGGGUAAAGAAGCACCGGCUAACUACGUG